rnacentral:rRNA from 1 species
GACGAACGCUGGCGGCGUGCUUAACACAUGCAAGUCGAGCGAUGAAGUUUCUUCGGAAAUGGAUUAGCGGCGAACGGGUGAGGAACACGUGAAGAAUCUGCCCUCCACUUUGGGAUAACACCGGGAAACCGGUGCUAAUACCGAAUAUUGAAACAUAAGUGGCAUCACUGAGUUUUGAAAGAAUUUCGGUGGAGGAUGACUUCGCGGCCUAUCAGCUAGUUGGUGAGGUAAUGGCUCACCAAGGCAACGGCGGGUAGCCGGCCUGAGAGGGCGACCGGCCACACUGGGACUGAGACACGGCCCAGACUCCUACGGGAGGCAGCAGUGGGGAAUAUUGGGCAAUGGAGGAAACUCUGACCCAGCGACGCCGCGUGCGGGAUGAAGGCCUUCGGUUGUAAACCGCGUUCAGUAGGAAGGAGCGAAAGU